ensembl:processed_transcript ipp intracisternal A particle-promoted polypeptide
CUGACAGACUGAGACGCCGAUGCAGGAAAGCUCGAUGCUCGUGCGGAAGUGGCUCUGCCCAAAAUAUGGAUAAAUGAAGUCAAGAAAAAAGACAAAUUAAAAUGUAAAAGCUCAGUGACUGUGGCGUCCGGCUGGAAUCCUCCUCAUCAUGUGCUCUGCCGGUCCCUCUCUGGCGCACACGCGCUGCGAUGAAGCGGUUGCAGUGAAGGAUCAUGGGAGUUUCUCCUCUGACAGACACGCCAGGCUCCUGCUGGCUCAGAUGAAUAAGAUGCGUCUGCAGGCCGACUUCUGCGAUGUGCGGCUGCUGGUGGGCGGACGACGGUUUGGGGUCCAUAAGCUGGUGCUGGCUGCCAGCGGGCCGUAUUUCGCCGCUCUGUUCUCCGGAGCCAUGAGCGAAGCCCACGAGGAGGAGGUGCGCAUCGCUGGAGUGGAGCCACACGUCUUUGAGAUCCUCCUGGAGUUUAUCUACACCGGGCUUAUUGAUGUGACGGUGGACACGGUGCAGGAGCUGAUGGUGGCCGCAGAUAUGCUACAGCUGACGGAGGUGGUUGAGAUCUGUGGUCAGUUCCUGCGCGCUCAUAUGGACCCGUCUAACUGUGUGGGAAUCUAUCGCUUUCUGGAGCAGAUCGCCUGUGUGGAGCUGCUGCAGUUCACUGAGGACUACAUACACGUCCACUUUCUGGAGGUUUGCUCUUCAGAGGAGUUCUCCAGCAUGUCUUCAGAUCAGCUGGUGAAGCUGCUGCGCAGUGAGGAGCUGCGGAUCGAGGACGAGUAUCAGGUGUUCACGGCAGCCAUGGAUUGGCUGCAUCACGACGUGCCUCACAGGAAGAAGCAUGUGGUGGAGGUGCUGGAGCCGGUGCGCUUCCCUCUGCUCUCUCCACAGAGACUCUACAAGUACAUCGAGGGCAUAUCCGACUUCAGUUUGCGAGUUGCGCUGCAAACCCUUCUGAGGGAGUACACUGAAGUCAGCAAGUCCCCUAAAGAGAGCAAACCUUUCAGCCUUCUGCAGACAGCCAAGACCCGGCCCAGGAGAAAAGCCCGCAAGUACCUCUAUGCCAUCGGUGGCUACACUCGUCUGCAGGGCGGCCGCUGGAGUGACAGUCGGGCUCUGAGUUGUGUGGAACGCUUUGAUUCAUUCAGUCAGUAUUGGACCACAGUGUCCUCCCUGCACCAGGCCCGCAGUGGACUCGGGGUGGCAGUACUGGAGGGCAUGAUAUAUGUCAUCGGGGGAGAAAAAGACUCCAUGAUCUUCGACUGCACGGAGCGCUAUGAUCCAGUGACCAAGCAGUGGGCCGCAGUGGCGUCUCUGAACUUUCCCCGCUGUGGAGUUGGAGUUUGUUCCUGUCAUGGAGCUCUUUAUGCACUUGGUGGCUGGAUUGGUUCAGAAAUUGGGAAGACCAUGGAACGAUACGACCCAGAAGAGAAUAAAUGGGAGGUGAUAGGGAGCAUGGCUGUUCCUCGAUACUAUUUUGGCUGCUGCGAGCUGCAAGGCUUCAUCUAUGUGAUUGGUGGCAUCAGUGAUGAGGGAACGGAGCUGCGCUCGGCUGAAGUUUACGACCCAAUCUCUCGGCGGUGGAGCGCGCUGCCUGUCAUGGUGACCCGGCGGGCGUAUGUGGGCGUGGCCAGUCUCAAUAACUGCAUCUACGCUGUCGGAGGCUGGAACGAGGCUCUGGGGUCACUGGACACCGUGGAGAAAUACUGCCUUGAGGAGGAGAAGUGGGUGGAGGUGGCGUCGAUGUCGGUCCCUCGCGCUGGAGUAACGGUAGCGGCUGUCAACGGUUUGUUAUAUGCAGUUGGCGGUCGAACUACAAGCCGUGACUUUUCGGCACCCGUCACCGUAGACUCUGUGGAAAUUUACGACCCCCAUCUGGACACGUGGACGGAGAUCGGUAACAUGAUCACCAGCCGAUGUGAUGGAGGCGUAGCUGUGCUCUAAUUUACUCAACACCACCCUAGGAAAUGUGUCUUAAUUUAUUAUGGUUUUUAAAAAGUGUGAGGAAUUAGUUGAGUUGAAGAGGCCUUGUUUGAGGAUUGACUACCAGUGUGUAUUUUUCUUUAAACCACUUGUGUGUUGUUUAAGAUCACAUGUUGUUAAAGCGGCAGUUCACCCAAAAAUGAACAUUUCCUCAUUGUU